AAUCAGAGACAGCCAAUUGAAAACUUACGAUUUUUAGCGGUCAUUCCGGCUGGGCGAGCAACGGAAAGGAAAUAUCAGCCGGAGUCAUGUCGUUUCCAAAGUAUGCUUUGUUUUAUUUCCCUGACUCUUAUAUCGUGAAAGUGGACAGCACCGAUAUAAUUUUAGGAGAGCACAGACUAUCGGAGUACGUGGUCGGUUCUCGCGAGUAACUUCGAAGCGAAGAGGGCUAUGUAGAGGUGCGCCUGUCAAGUCGCAGCAGACAUGGACAGACCAAGACACUGGCAGCGAAAAUUCUACUUCUUAGUGAUGUUUACAAAGACUUAAUUGUGAAGAGAGAUGCUUUUAAGAGAGGAGAAGACAUCUGGAAGACAACCUCACAGCAAGGGAAAAAACAGCUUAGGCCUUAAAGAUUGCAAGUACUUCUCAAGGUGCAGCCAAUGUUGCAAUGGGAGACAAACUUAAAAGAGACCUUCAGAACUUGCAAAGAAAGAAAGGAGUACCCGUAACCUCCACUCCAAUGUCCGAUGAUUCAGAUAACACAGACAUUGUUAUGUUUGAAAAGAACGAGCAGAGAAGAUCAAGGAAAAGAGCUUCAGUGGACAGUGACAACGAACAAGAUGGCGAUAAUGGAAGCAAGGAAUUUGAGAACAGUCUUUUGCAGAGCACACCUCCGCAGAACAAUUUCAAGCUUGAUGGUGAUGUUGUCAAAUCUUUAAAAGAGUUUCCUGGGAUAGUAUCAUCUCUCAAAGAUGUCUUAGAGUCCAUUAAAAGAUGUCUUAGAGUCCAUUAAAAGAUGGAUGUGAAAGUCCCCAAGAGGAUGUAUGACAGACUGAAUAAGUCACGGGUUUCUCUUUUUGCACAAGAUUUGGCAACUCUAAUUUUUGGAAAAGAUAAACUGGCAAGAUGUACUCUUACUGGAAAAUCAGGAAACAAGACCAAUUGGACCCUCACAAGGUCACAGUUCUUAUUGUUAUGUGUGCUUCUUGUUCAUCAUUACUUUUUUGCUCUCUUCACAAGACAAUAGGGACUGACCACAACUUACAAUAUGCCAAAAAAGAUUUG